CUUGGAGCAAAGUUCACAAUGUGGGUCCGCACAUGCUGCUCUGUCCAUCUGAAUGGGAGCUGCAAGUUAGUCCUUCCUCCUAUCCAUCAUUUUUCCUCUUCUAUUCUAGGUAUUCUUUGCUAGAGAUGGACCUUCACUUUAAUGUAGUCUGUGAUUCUGCAAGGGACAACUGAUGAUGACCCUCACUGACCCUGGGCAGGCAGAGCUGUUGUGAGUUUUCUAGUUGUCUGGGCCACUGAUUUUGGCCAGCUGUGUAUUUUCUGGGAUCCAAUAUCUGGUAAGGUCACUGGCUGGGCUCUGCUAUCAGGCAGAGCUUCUGGCUAGAUAACUCAAUGGAUUCUAGUCAGUCUGUUCACAAAAUGUGUUUCC
rnacentral:lncRNA from 10 species